CAGCUGUUAUUGGAACUCGCGGAAGUCUCGGACCGGAUGAAAUAUUGACUCCAAUCGAGAGCACAGUCAGAUCAUAUCGGGAUAUAGUGCCGGAAGGUGGGCCGGCAGGAUUCUCCAGUGAAAUUUGUUUGUCUCCGUAUGGUAGAUCCGCUUUGAAAACGCGACAUUCGCGUGACAAGAACCUGUUGUUGUUGCUGCGCUUUCGACUAGUGUUCUAGCGGUAAAUUUUAGGCGGAAAAAUCGAUUGUUCUCGUUUGAUUGUUUUUGUUUUGGUGCACGGCUUCGUUACGCGAUUCCUGCAGUCCCCCCGCUCGGCCACCGACACGGCCACAUGACUCAUGCACGGCUGCAACAAUGAAAAGUCACAAUAAGUACGCCAAGUUGCCCCAAGACCUCGACUUGAGUUUCCAAAGCGAUCUGGACCUGCUGCCGGACACAGCGGCCGACAUCGAUCUCGACAUAGAUGUGGACGUGGAUGCCCUCAAUCUGAGCUCGCCCGCCGCUCUGGACCUCCUCGACGACGACGAGGACGACGAGAUUGUAAUUGCCACUGGUUUAGGCGGCGGCGGCGGCGGAGGCGGCGCCAGUGACGGUGGUGGCAAGGGCGGCCUGCGUCUAGCACCAAAAACCAAGCAGCGUAAAAACCCAUUGGAACAGCAAAAGUUCCACAGCAAGAACAAAAUCUGCGGCCUUGGCAGCGACAGUAUUAUCGAGACGGGUUUAACCCUCACGCCAGAAAUGCUGCUCUCCACCUCGGAGUCAUCGACGCACAGCGCCUCCGAGGUUGCCGGCCGACUGCAGGUCGAUGUGCGGACCGGCCUCAAAUGGACAGAGGCCAAGUACCGGGCCAAGAUCAUUGGCCACAAUGAGCUGCUGCUGAUCGAGGAGGAGCCCACAUGGAAGAAGUACAUCGAGCAGUUCAGGAACCCUCUCAUCCUGCUGCUGCUCGGCUCGGCCCUGGUCUCGGUGAUCAUGAAACAGUUCGACGAUGCCGUCAGCAUAACCAUCGCCAUCCUGAUCGUGGUCACGGUGGCCUUCAUCCAGGAGUACCGCUCUGAGAAGAGCCUGGAGGAGCUCAAGAAGCUGGUGCCCCCUGAGUGCCACUGCCUGCGCGAGGGCCGCCUCGACACGUUCCUGGCCCGCGAGCUGGUGCCCGGCGAUGUGGUGCACCUCAACGUGGGCGAUCGUGUGCCCGCCGAUGUGCGUCUCUUCGAGGCCGUCGACCUCUCCAUAGACGAGAGCAGCUUCACGGGCGAAACGGAGCCGGCCCGCAAGAUCACCGACGUCCUGCUGAACAACACGAACGUGAAGGACCACAGCAACAUGAAGAACAUCGCCUUCAUGGGCACCCUGGUGCGCUGCGGCAACGGCAAGGGCAUCGUGGUCAGCACCGGGGAGCGCAGCGAGUUCGGCGAGGUCUUCAAGAUGAUGCAGGCCGAGGAGGCCCCGAAGACGCCGCUCCAAAAGUCAAUGGACAUCCUGGGCGCCCAGCUGAGCUUCUACUCGUUCCUCAUCAUCGGCGUCAUUAUGCUACUCGGCUGGCUCCAGGGCAAGCCGCUCUCGGAGAUGUUCAACAUCAGCGUCUCGCUGGCAGUGGCCGCCAUACCCGAGGGCCUGCCCAUCGUGGUAACUGUUACCCUGGCCCUGGGCGUCAUGCGGAUGGCCAAGCGCAAUGCGAUCGUGAAGAAGCUGCCCACCGUCGAGACCCUGGGCUGCGUGAACGUCAUUUGCUCGGACAAGACGGGCACUUUGACCAAGAAUGAGAUGACGGCCACGAUCAUCAUCACCUCCGACGGCUACAUGGCGGACGUGACCGGCGCCGGGUACAACGACCAGGGCGAGAUCCACAUCCGGCACUGCAACAACGUGGAAAUGGCCAAGACCAACAUCACGAAUCUCCUGGAGAUCGGAGCCGUCUGCAACAACGCGUACAUCCAGAACGGCACGCUCCUGGGCCAGCCCACCGAGGGAGCUCUGGUGGCGGUGGCCAUGAAGAACGGCAUGUACGCCACGGCCGAGAACUAUGUCCGCAUCCAGGAGUACCCGUUCAGCUCCGAGCAGAAGAUGAUGGCCGUCAAGUGCAUCCACAAGUACAACAACAACAAGGAGGAGUUCUUCUUCGCCAAGGGAGCGCUGGAGACGCUCCUGCCGCAGUGCACCAAGUACCAGUUCGGCACGCAGACCGUGCCCCUGACCAAGCAGAACGAGGCGGAGUUCCUCUCCGAGGCCUACGAGAUUGGACGCAAGGGCCUCAGAGUGCUGGCCCUGGCCAAGGGCCGCUCCAUGCAGGAUCUGAUCUACUGCGGCCUGGUGGGCAUCACCGAUCCGCCGCGGCCCCUGGUCAGGGAGUCCAUUGAGAUGCUGAUGCAGAGCGGUGUCCGGGUGAAGAUGGUCACGGGCGAUGCCCAGGAAACGGCCCUGGCCAUUGCCAAUCUCAUCGGCAUCGACACCAUCCACCACCAGACGCUGUCCGGGCAGGAGAUGGAUCAGCUGAACGAACACCAGCUGGACAAGGUGGCCAACAACGUGAGCGUCUUCUAUCGCGUCUCGCCGCGCCACAAGCUGGAGAUAGUCAAGUCGCUGCAGCGCACCGGCAACAUUGUGGGCAUGACUGGGGACGGGGUCAACGACGGAGUGGCCCUGAAGAAGGCGGACAUCGGCAUUGCCAUGGGCAAGAAUGGCACGGAUGUGUGCAAGGAGGCUGCCGACAUGAUCCUGGUCAACGACGAUUUCCACACCAUCAUAGCUGCCAUCGAAGAGGGCAAGGGCAUAUUUUACAACAUUCGGAACUUUGUGCGCUUUCAGCUGAGCACCUCGAUCGCUGCCCUGGCCCUGAUCGCUCUGGCCACGCUGAUGGACAUUGCCAAUCCGCUGAACGCCAUGCAGAUUCUAUGGAUCAACAUUAUUAUGGACGGGCCGCCCGCUCAGUCGCUGGGCGUGGAGCCCGUGGACCACGACGUGCUCAAGCAGAAGCCGCGGAACGUCAAGCAGCCGAUGAUCACCAAGUCGGUGGUGGCGAAUGUGCUGCUGAGUGCCAGCAUCAUAGUGCUGGGCACGCUCUGGGUGUUUCAGCGCGAAAUGGCCGACGGCACUUUGGGGAAGACCAAGCGGGACACGACCAUGACCUUUACUUGCUUCGUAUUCUUUGACAUGUUCAACGCCCUGUCGUGCCGAUCGCAGACGAAGAGCGUGUUCACCAUUGGGCUGACCACCAACCGCAUGUUCCUGCUGGCUGUGGCCUUCUCGAUCAUCGGCCAAAUGCUGGUCGUGUACUUUCCACCGCUGCAGAUGGUCUUCCAAACGGAGGCCCUGACGCCCUACGACAUCCUUUUCCUGGUCACGCUCACCUCCUCCGUGCUGGUCGUCUCCGAGAUCAAGAAGUGGUUCGAGCGCACCAUGGAGCGCAAGAUGUACAGCACCCGCUCCGAGCUGGACUUCGUAUGACAAAACGCAAGCGCUAGAGACGAGUUGCACCCGAAAGCCGAGUAAAUUAAAUAACAAACAAAAAUAACAAAAAAAAAGAGCAAAACUAUGCCAAAACCAAGUGAGGAGCGUGGUGGACUGGACCGACGAGCAGCAGAAGGAGAGAAGCACGAGAGCAGCGAAGUGUGUGUUUAGUUUUACAUUUGACUCGACUCGACUCGACUCGAAAGUUAGACAAAAUUUAAUCAGCAAAGCUGGGCGCAACUAGCCCCAUUCCGGACUCCCAUAUUCCCAUACAUAAAUAUAUUCGACGUAAGCCUCAAGGUUCGCCUUAGCUCUCUGUAAGUUUUGCAUAGAUUCUAUUAUUAUCACUUUACUUUGUUCAGCUUUUUUUUUUUGUUUUUUUCCUAUUUUAUUGUAUCGUAUUGUAUUGUAUUUAGUUCUUAAGUAGACAAUUUGUAGAGCUAUUUUAAUUUUUUUCGCUUUGCGUAGUUUGUUCACGGAUGCUCAAGUAUUUGAAAAGGCCAAACGUCUCCAAAACGUUUCUUUUUAUUUCUCAGCGUACAGCGCACACCAUUGGCUCCAUUGGCCCCAUUGGCCCCGGCCCCCCCCGUGUUGGGCCGGUCAGGCUCAGUUUUCACUUACUUGCCAUCCAUUUCCAUUUAAGCUCCAAGUGCUGCUCUAGUUUAAGCUCCUAAACUGGCGAAUCAAGUCAUUUCAAAGUGUGUUUGAUGCGACAGCGAACCAAGAACCACAGAAAUUCAACUGAGCAAUCGUUCAAUCGUCUCUCAGAUUCAAUCCAACAGAUGCAGAUGCAGAUGCAACCCACAACCUACAGUACCCUACCCGAUAAAAAUGUAAAAGAAAUGUGCAGGAGUCGCAGGAGCCCAUAAGACGGGGACGGAGCCCAGGCGCAGUGAAGUGAAGCAAAUGGUUUUUAGUAAUUUUGUUAUCUAAUUUAUUCGGUGUUUGAGAAAACAAGCAACAAAUUUGUGUACAACAACCGCAAAACGAGUCUCUAGUGCGCUAGCAGCCAAAACAAUUUAGAACGCGACUCCAGCUCCCGAACCAACACCUUCGAAGGGGGCGGGGAGGCUGGAGAUUGCCAAAAAAAAAUAAAUACUUCGCGUAUAUAAAACAAUGAUUAUGUAUUUUAUAUACGUAUGAAUAUUUGAGUAAUUUGAAUUUGAGAGUCCUAAGUAGACCAAAUGUGUUUUUUAGUUUGCCGCCAAACAGCAAACAGCAAACAGUUCAAAAACAGAAUAAUGCACAGAACAAUGAGAUGAGCAAGAUGUGUAGCAAGGCAAAGCCAAUUCCUCUCAUAGCAGCACCAGAUUACUGGAAAGUAAUGUAUUUUAUUCAGAUAUAUAUUCAAUUCAAAUGGUAUUCGUAGCAAGUAACCCCACAAUGUACUCACCUUAAGACCCUUCAGUUACGAGGUUUGAGCAUUGAACAGAGAAGCAAUAAUUAAAACAAUACGAUAUGACAGUCGAUUGGGCUUGUCAUCCUAUAUACUCGAUCUCCCCCCUCAAAUAGACAGUUUCAAUGGGAAAAUCAAAAGAAAAAGCAAAACAAAAAUAAAACAAAACAAAAAAACUGCAAAAAUAGUCAAUUAAUACAUUUUGAAACCGUAUUAAGAGGAAAAUAUAUAUUCAAGUGAAUUCGUAGACACAAGAUCUAAAAUUAAUAGUAAAGGCAACAUGUAAUCUCACUUCUAUGUUAUUGUUAAAUCCUCCCAAUAUCAUCGACAGUCGAUUCAUAUCAUCACCACUCAGAAGACCCAUGACCCCUCUCGAUUGAGCGACCAACCACUCAUAUUUCUACCGAUCAGAUCGCCCCCGAUAGAGUAUCGGGAGUGAAGAUUUCACUGAUUCACUGAUGCAUAUCACAUUUGCACCUAGAACGCAAAGCUUACUCACUGGCAAUCGGCUCGGAUUGUCUUCGAUCCUAAAGGCUCAGCUCGGAAAGCAACUUUUACACCUUUCGUUGAAUGAACACCUAUUUUUCACAUGUGUUUUAGUGCAAUGAGUUAAUAAGUUAAUGGACCAAGCAAGAAAUUAUUUACACGAAUUGUAUCACACACUUCAAUAUCAGGCUUAGGCUCUCAUGAUCCACCAAGACACAGGCGCACCCUCAUAUAUCAUGGCAAGAAAAGUCCACAAAAAAAAACAGAAAAUAAUUUAAAAAUACACACAAAAAAAAUGUAAAAUCUACGAUGAAAAAUUAUAAAAAAAAAAUGAAAGAAAUUGUUUUACAAAGCAUUCCUAGAAGCAAGCAAAGGCUCAUUAUCAUAACCCACGCAUGAAUGCAUACCACACAUAAACAUAAGGUACACAGGACACGCCCACUCACACACACUCACACACACACACACUCACCCACAUCUCAUCCACAAUGGUAACAAUAAUUAGUAAAUUAAGUAUAUUUGAUUAACUAACGACAGCAACAAGAUCAAUAUCAAGAUCCAGAUCCACUGCGUGCAUGAGUGUCUGAAUAAUAAAAUAUAAUAUGAAUACGAAUACGAAUACGAUUACGAU